rnacentral:rRNA from 1 species
CCUACGGGUGGCAGCAGUGAGGAAUAUUGGUCAAUGGUCGGGAGACUGAACCAGCCAAGCCGCGUGAGGGAUGAAGGUACAGAGUAUCGUAAACCUCUUUUGUCAGGGAACAAAGGCGGGGACGCGUCCCCGGAUGAGUGUACCUGAAGAAAAAGCAUCGGCUAACUCCGAGACAGCAGCCGCGGUCCUACGGAGGCUGCGAGCGUUAUCCGGAUUUAUGGGGUUUAAAGGGUGUGCAGGCGGUCUGUUAAGUCAGCGGUCAAAGCCCGGGGCUUAACCCCGGCCCGCCGUUGCAACUGGCAGUCUCGAGUUGGAGAGAAGUAUGCGGAAUGCGCGGUGUAGCGGUGAAAUGCAUAGAUAUCGCGCAGAACUCCGAGUGCGAAGGCAGCAUGCCGGCUCCACACUGACGCUGAGGCACGAAAGCGUGGGUAUCGAACAGGAUUAGAUACCCCUGUAGUC